GUGUGCAGCAGCCGGCGGCGGAGCAGUGACGCGGCAUCUGGGAAAGAGGCGGGAGUUAAGUCGCAAGCGGCUCUCCGGGCAUCCGGAGGAGCCUCGCGCCUCCAGCCGCCGCUCCUCCCCAAGGGGCUCUGGCCUGUCGGGUCCCCCCCGGCCCGUUGUCGCCCCAACCCCGUCCCAGCCGAUUCUCUUGACUUCUGUCAGCGGCACUCACGCUCUGGCCAUUGCUGCGCCGCCGAAGUCUCGCGAGGGGUAGCGCGCGCCGGAAGUUGGUACCAUAGAGACUGGAGAGCCGGAGGUGCCCCCGCCACCGGGGCGGGGCGGGGCGAGGUCCUAGCUAGCUGGGUUAGUAAGCGGCGCGAGCGUGCGAGUUUCUGACGCGCCCGCGUCGUCCCAGCUCCCUGGACUACCAGUAUUGUCGCCCACGUGGGCUUCUCUUUCGUCCGCUCAGGCCUCACUUUUCUCCGUAAACACCCCGGCACGAUGGAGCGGCCCCAGCGUUCGGGAGCGGCCCGGGAGCGGAAAGCGGCAGUGUCCUGGGAGCCUCGAAAGCCGCAGGGGCGGCAGCUCGCCUCGGAAUGACCUCUGACGGAAGAAAUAAAACGGGGCCUGGGACGCUUGCACGAAAGAACCCGACAAAAACCAGAGCCCGCACUCACUCUCGUACUGGGGAGGUGGACUUCAGGGAGGGUUAUCUGGAGGAGGAAUCUCUCAAAGUACAACACAGGAGAAAGACAGUAUCGCAAUACAGAAAUUUUAUUUUUUAUUUUAUUAUUAUUUUCCUGAGACCGGAGUCUCGCUCUGUCGCCCAGGCUGGAGUGCAGUGGCGCGAUCUCGGCUCACUGCAAACUCCGCCUCCCGGGUUCACGCCAUUCGGCUGCCUCACCCUCCACAGUAGCUGGGACUACAAGCGCCCGCCACCACGCCCGGCUAAUUUGCAAUACGGAAAUUUUAAUAGCCUCAGCUUCCACGGAAUCCAUGCCCACAUCUUCAUAAUCCUCCAGAGCUGCCAGAUCCUCGCGGGCCUCGGAGAAUUCCCCCACUGCCAUGCCCUCCCCCACGUACCAGUGCACUAAGGCGCACUUGGCCGAACUUAUGGUCCAGGCAGGCCCAGGCCUCCGUGAUGGCCGUGGUGUUGCUCAGCAUGCACACCGCCCGCUGCACUUUGGCCAGGUCUCCCACAGGGACCACCGUGGGGGGCUGGUAGUUAAUGCCCACCUGUCAGAGAUGGGCAGCAUAGAAUGAAGUUUAUAUUGGCCUCAGAAAUGGGAGCUCAUUAAAAAUCAGAGCUGUGGACCAGUUCCAACACUGUG
rnacentral:lncRNA from 1 species